rnacentral:rRNA from 1 species
ACAGAGGUGGCGAGCGUUGUUCGGAUUUACUGGGCGUAAAGGGCGCGUAGGCGGCCGUGUGUGUCGGAUGUGAAAUCUUCGGGCUCAACCCGAAAAGUGCGUUCGAAACUGCAUGGCUUGAGGACGGAAGGGGAGUGCGGAAUACAGGGUGUAGCGGUGAAAUGCGUUGAUAUCCUGUAGAACACCGGUGGCGAAGGCGGCACUCUGGGACGUAUCUGACGCUGAGGCGCGAAAGCAGGGGGAGCAAACAG